GGGGGCGUGCCUAACCCAUGCAAAUUCGAACGGUAACACUUUCGGGUGACGAGUGGCGGACGGUUGAGUAACGCGUAGGAAUCUGCCCUAAAGUGAGGGAUAAGCUCGAGAAAUCGAGUCUAAUACCGCAUAUGGUCUUCGGAUUAAAGGAUUUAUCCGCUUUGGGAGGAGCCUGCGUUGGAUUAGGUUGUUGGUGAGGUAAUGGCUCACCAAGCCGACGAUCCAUAGCUGGUCUGAGAGGAUGACCAGCCAGACUGGAACUGAGACACGGUCCAGACUCCUACGGGAGGCAGCAGUGGGGAAUCUUCCACAAUGGGCGAAAGCCUGAUGGAGCAACGCCGCGUGAAGGAUGAAGGCCUUAGGGUUGUAAACUUCUUUUAUUUGUGAAGAAUAUGACGGUAGCAAAUGAAUAAGCACCGGCUAACUACGUGCCAGCAGCCGCGGUAAUACGUAGGUGGCGAGCGUUAUCCGGAAUUAUUGGGCGUAAAGAGCGCGCAGGUGGUUGAUUAAGUCUGAUGUGAAAGCCCACGGCUUAACCGUGGAGGGUCAUUGGAAACUGGUCGACUUGAGUGCAGAAGAGGGAAGUGGAAUUCCAUGUGUAGCGGUGAAAUGCGUAGAGAUAUGGAGGAACACCAGUGGCGAAGGCGGCUUCCUGGUCUGUAACUGACACUGAGGCGCGAAAGCGUGGGGAGCAAACAGGAUUAGAUACCCUGGUAGUCCACGCCGUAAACGAUGAGUGCUAAGUGUUGGGGGUCGAACCUCAGUGCUGAAGUUAACGCAUNAAGC
rnacentral:rRNA from 1 species